UACAGAGGGUGCAAGCGUUGUUCGGAAUUAUUGGGCGUAAAGCGCGUGUAGGCGGCUUAGCAAGUCGGGCGUGAAAGCCCUCGGCUCAACCGAGGAAGUGCACCCGAAACUGCUGAGCUUGAGUGCCGGAGAGGAUGGCGGAAUUCCCCAAGUAGAGGUGAAAUUCGUAGAUAUGGGGAGGAACACCGGCGGCGAAGGCGGCCAUCUGGACGGUAACUGACGCUGAGACGCGAAAGCGUGGGGAGCAAACAGG
rnacentral:rRNA from 1 species